rnacentral:rRNA from 1 species
AGCGAACGCUGGCGGCAGGCCUAACACAUGCAAGUCGAACGAACUCUUCGGAGUUAGUGGCGGACGGGUGAGUAACACGUGGGAACGUGCCUUUAGGUUCGGAAUAACUCAGGGAAACUUGUGCUAAUACUGAAUGUGCCCUUCGGGGGAAAGAUUGAUCGCCUUUAGAGCGGCCCGCGUCUGAUUAGCUAGUUGGGGAGGUAAAGGGUCACCAAGGCGACGAUCAGUAGCUGGUCUGAGAGGAUGAUCAGCCACAUUGGGACUGAGACACGGCCCAGACUCCUACGGGAGGCAGCAGUGGGUAAUCUUGCGCAAUGGGCGAUAGCCUGACGCAGCCAUGCCGCGUGAAUGAUGAAGGUCUUAGGAUUGUAAAAUUCUUUCACCGGGGACGAUAAUGACGGUACCCGGAGAAGAAGCCCCGGCUAACUUCGUGCCAGCAGCCGCGGUAAAAC